ACUCCUACGGGAGGCAGCAGUGGGGAAUCUUAGACAAUGGGGAAACCGCUAGCAUCUAGCCAUGCCGCGUGAGCGAUGAAGGCCUUAGGGUUGUAAAGCUCUUUCAGCUGGGAAGAUAAUGACGGUACCAGCAGAAGAAGCCCCGGCUAACAUCCGUGCCAGCAGCCGCGGUAAUACGGAGGGGCGUAGCGUUGUUCGGAAUUACUGGGCGUAAAGCGCACGUAGGCGGAUU
rnacentral:rRNA from 1 species